rnacentral:rRNA from 1 species
UUCUAACGUGGACCCGUUACCCGGGUUGCGGACAGUGUCUGGUGGGUAGUUUGACUGGGGCGGUCUCCUCCUAAAGAGUAACGGAGGAGCACGAAGGUUGGCUAAUCCUGGUCGGACAUCAGGAGGUUAGUGCAAUGGCAUAAGCCAGCUUGACUGCGAGCGUGACGGCGCGAGCAGGUGCGAAAGCAGGUCAUAGUGAUCCGGUGGUUCUGAAUGGAAGGGCCAUCGCUCAACGGAUAAAAGGUACUCCGGGGAUAACAGGCUGAUACCGCCCAAGAGUUCAUAUCGACGGCGGUGUUUGGCACCUCGAUGUCGGCUCAUCACAUCCUGGGGCUGAAGUAGGUCCCAAGGGUAUGGCUGUUCGCCAUUUAAAGUGGUACGCGAGCUGGGUUUAGAACGUCGUGAGACAGUUCGGUCCCUAUCUGCCGUGGGCGCUGGAGAACUGAGGGGGGCUGCUCCUAGUACGAGAGGACCGGAGUGGACGCAUCACUGGUGUUCGGGUUGUCAUGCCAAUGGCACUGCCCGGUAGCUAAAUGCGGAAGAGAUAAGUGCUGAAAGCAUCUAAGCACGAAACUUGCCCCGAGAUGAGUUCUCCCUGAGACUUAGAGUCUCCUGAAGGAACGUUGAAGACGACGACGUUGAUAGGCCGGGUGUGUAAGCGCAGCGAUGCGUUGAGCUAACCGGUACUAAUGAACCGUGAGGCUUAACCUUACAACGCCGAAG